rnacentral:lncRNA from 1 species
GGAAGGUGAUCUAAGCAGAAAAGGACUGGGUCAGCCAUUGCUAAUAUCUGUAGCACUUAAGAUGCAUGAGUUAGGUAUGGGUGUGCCUUUCCUAAGAGGGAUAGAAUUAACUGAAUUUUACUAAAGGAGAAGUUCUCAGAGCAGCUGAUCACUCAAAAACUGGUACUAUAGGUGUUUCCAGUAAAGAGGCAUAUGCUUGACCUUCCAGUCAGUGUAAUUGAAGAGUGCUCCACUGACCCAAAUCAGCUUCCCAGUGCUGAGCUGAAAAUGAAUAUACUGCCAAAAAUCUGGUAAAGUGCUACUAGAAAUGAAACAAAUGACAGCACAAGCUCACACACAUAUUUUACUACUGAUGGACCCAAGGCACUAUGACAGCCUUCAGAUGUUUAUCCUGAUGAUUCAAGGAGCACAAACAUUCAGACCUCAGAUUUUAUUUCAGCUUGUUCUAAAGAUGGGGAUUAGCCAGAUGCAGAGAGGUGACUCCUACGUAAAGUAGGUCUUUCUGAAUUGCUGUGUGAUCAGGCACACUACAGAGACUCACUUCAGGCCUCCUGCACUACAACUCUGCACAAAUAAUUCUGAAGUACAAAGCUCUGUUCACCAGUGUCUUCCCUUCAAACCUGUGGUCCCUCUCCAGGGUAAUCUUCCCUCUGCCUGCAGGGAUACAGCACAUUUUUGGUGCCAGCAAUCACAGGCCCUUGCUAAAGAACAGUUUUCACAGGAUUCAGUUAAGUGGUUUUUAAUACUAUUGUAAUAGUAUUGGAAUAAUAAUUGGAAUAUUCUACAGGACACCAAACUUGGGAUGUGGUUUGAA